AAUUCGUGUUUUCCUAGAUUAGGAAACUUCAAUGUAACAGGUUUCUCUACAGAAGAUUAAAUUAUAUAAAAAGUAUACUAAAUGUAUUUGUUCAGAACUUGUUUUAUUCAGAUCUAUGUUGGAACAGUAUUUGAUAUUUGAUCAUAUAAAUCUACCAUAUGUGUAGGACUCAAUGGUAAUAUGUAAUGAUACAUAUGUUUUGUGAGAGCAGAGAGACAAAAUUUAGAAAUUGGGCUUGUUUCAUGAAAUCCGGGCUAUACGCGCAUCACAGGAACUGUGUGUCAUAUGCAGAGUAUGGUAUUGGCCGUGGCAGAGGAGGCAGCUGCUCAGGAGAGGUGUGGGAAGGCUUUUGCACAAAGCGCUCACUCUUCGUCCAGCUCCUUUAUGCCCAACCCCUCAGCUCCCCUGGCCUUCCGAGGUCCUAUCGUCCAGGAAGAACCGCUAAUACAUUAAAUCAUUGUAUCAAGGCAAUGAAGUGGGAUGUAUUGGGCUUUUCCUAAAAGCGGAUUAUUGGUCGGUGGCAAGAGAAAAGACCUAGAGAGCAGAGGAUAGAAAUCAGAUUUCCUAUUUCACAGGUGACUGGGCUCUCCCUGGUGGUAUCAAGAAGGAGAGAAAUUUCUACACAGUUUAACAGAGAAUGCCUGUUUCUGGCUCAAAGGAAUAAUCAUAAGAAAUGAAUUUUAAUGUCUGGAAUAUCAAAGAUAUGCUCAGUAUUCCCUCAACCUCUGGGACAACUAAGUCAUCUAGCUGGGCUAAUAAUCCGGGUGAUUAUUCCAGUCUCAGUGACUCUCAGUUCCUCUUUGGAUCCCAGUUCUGUCCAGAAAGUUCAGAGACCUUGUCAGCACCUUUGGAUGUUGGUGUCCAUUUGAGAGACCCAAAACCGUUACAAAAGGGUUCUCUGGAUAAUGAACCUAGUAUUUUCACAAAGUACCAGACAAAACCCCAGCUGUUUGAAGAAGAUAUAAAUGAUGGAGGCUUAUUUCCUCUUCCUUUGCCAGUUGGAAAAUCAAAAGGCCUUUUGGAACAGUUUGAGGAGAAAAAGAAAAUAGCAAAAGAUAAACGUGACAGGUAUGCAAACCUUUCAAGUAGACAAGAUAUCUUCUCUUUUAUGAGGGAAACAGAAAAUGGAAUGCCAAUAGUGACUAAUUCAAUUUCAGCAAGAUAGCACUCUUGCCUUUAUAUCUCAUCUAAUUAUUACUCUUGUU